AAACUCACCUGGCAAGGGAGUGAUACCAGGAGUAAAAAGUGGUUUUCCCAAGGUGAGGUUCAUCCACUGUACUCCAGGUAUGCUGACCCUGUCAUUUCCCCAAACACAGGAGAUGAACCUGCAUGGCUCGUGGUGCUGGUGGCUGCGUUGGUCCUUUCCCUAA
ensembl:snRNA U1 U1 spliceosomal RNA